rnacentral:rRNA from 1 species
CCUACGGGGGGCAGCAGUGGGGAAUAUUGGGCAAUGGGCGCAAGCCUGACCCAGCAACGCCGCGUGAAGGAAGAAGGCUUUCGGGUUGUAAACUUCUUUUAUUGAGGACGAAACAAAUGACGGUACUCAAUGAAUAAGCCACGGCUAACUACGUGCCAGCAGCCGCGGUAAUACGUAGGUGGCAAGCGUUAUCCGGAUUUACUGGGUGCAAAGGGCGUGUAGGCGGGACUGCAAGUCAGAUGUGAAACCCAUGGGCUCAACCCAUGGCCUGCAUUUGAAACUGUAGUUCUUGAGUGAUGGAGAGGCAGGCGGAAUUCCGUGUGUAGCGGUGAAAUGCGUAGAUAUACGGAGGAACACCGGCGGCGAAGGCGGCCUGCUGGACCGCGACUGACGUUGAGGCUCGAAAGCGUGGGGAGCGAACGGGAUUAGAUACCCGGGUAGUC